UACAGAUUUUUCUCGAGCCCCAGCAAUUUUGAAAUCGUUCAAGGAUCGUUCGUUUGCCAGAUCGAUAACCAUCGAGCACGAACGGACGUUCAUUCGAUUCGAGUUCGAUCGUCCGAAUGAGACACAACUUCGAGACAAGAGCCACGAUCAUUCUCCCGCGCAAAUAUUCGUUCGUGGGGGAAAAAAGGACGACCAAUUUGCGUCCUCCAGAUCGAUGCAAGCUGGACCAAUAUUUCUUUGAAAAAAUCCGAUCACAAAGGGGAGACCGGUGUUUGCCGCACUAUGCCUUCCGAUCGAGGUACAAGUUUGAAUUCCGAUCGAUACGCGUGUCGUCAUUGAGCUACUAGCAUAGACCAGACCUUCUCCCCCGAUUCGAACCAAUGGCGGACAAUAUCAGCGUGACGUCGUAUUGUUAUCGCAACUGGAUUGGUCGAACGAGCAAUACCUGCGAUCAGAAAAAGGAUUCUGCCUUUGAAAUAGCAAUUUCGGGCAGCCUUAGCGAAUUUCGCAAAUUUAACGAUCAAUAUUUUAUGCCAUAUUGACGCGUGAAAAUAUCGUGAGUAUCGAUUCAAGGAAAAUGCUAAUUGGGAAAGUUAUUUCGCCGGUCGAGCUAGCGCUCGAGUUCCGAUUUCGAUAUACUUCUGCGUUAACCUCCAAACUAUAAAACUAAUACUCGUAAUGCUCGUUGGAUUAUUGAUUGGUCUUCAAAUAUAUUCCGGUUGCAAACUGUUGUCGGAAACACGAAUUUCUAUAUAUUUUAAUCCAUAACAGAUAUAAAAACCAGCGACGAAUUUCUUGCCGUUAAAUAAUUUAUUAUAAUUUUUUCAUAUUUUAUAAAACGAGUUACAAGGUAGUAGCAACGAUAACAAUACCACCUAACGAUCACUUGCAGUUAUCUUUCAAAUUCAGAAAUUCAAUAAAAAAAAACAAGUAGCAAUAUUGCGAAAAAAUAUUUUCAAUUGUUGUUCUUUUUACGAUGUAAAUAUUUCGUGUGAAGUUUUGUUGUUUUGCAAAAUAAAUUAUGCUAGCUGGUAGGCAUUGGUGUGUCGUAUUUUUGUUCCAACAAAUAUAUCAAGGUUACUUAAAAAGUUUUCAAUAAUUAGAAAAUGAAGGAUCACUCGUUAUUGCAACGUAAACAUAAUAAAUUUCUCGUUACGAAUACGUAGAGGUAAUCAUUAUUGAAGUACCCAAACUCGCCACUGUUAUAAGUAUCUCGAUUACGAAUCGGUGGUAAAUUAAAAAAGAAGCGAACGAAGACACGCGAAGAUCGUCUGUAAUUACGUGGAAAAAUCUCUGGGAAGUUCGUGCACAUUGUGUUCAUUCAGAAAAGAAUUUAUAACAUUUUUCUAAGUACGCUAGCGCGAGAAGUUACGGAAAGCUUUAUAGGUAUAUACUAGAAUAAGUGAAUGUUGGUCUAACGAAUUAUGAGCGGUAAUUUUAACGAUACACUCUAACGGGCGAUCGCCACGGAAAAGAAUUACCUGGUCAAUCGAGAUCUGAAUAUUCGAUGAUGCCACUGUUACAUUUUACACUCGAACUGCAAAUUAUAUACAUAAGAAAUUAUAUGAUAAUAAACUCACGUUUUAAAGUUGUCAGUCGCCAUCAUAUGCGAGGAGACGGUAUCAUUGCAAGUGCGCAUGCGCAUCGAACCAUGUUGCUUCUGCUGUAAAGACUCGUUCACAUCCGUACAGCACAAAAUGCCAGAUAAAAAUAUUUUAGUCACUUCAAAAAUAUGUGUAUAUAUAUAUUUAAACACGUAUAAUUACUCUUUCAUUUCUACGUUAUCGAUUUCGAUUUAAAAUAUAUCAGAUAAGCACAUUUUACUAGACACAGCUUACAUGAGCCCAAUACGCUAUAAUGUACACAUAUAUAUGUAUAACUUCUGUUUACAAGUAGACGCGUAUAUAUUUAGGCUUCCGCAUGGCUUGGAAUCACGGUGGGAUACAUCAUUACCAUGUAUAUCACUGUUUUUCCUGAUUACAUGAACUUUGAUACCUAGCAUGAAUAUAUCACGUUUUGACCUGAUAGAAGGUGCCCAAAGAUGUCCAGGAAUAGGAUAAAAAGACUUUAGCGAUGACAUAAUCGAUGACCUGAGAAGACAUGGAUAUACAAGAUCUGGUUAAGACAGCAUUUAGAGUAGUUAACACAGAAGACAGAUAUAUUCUGACAUCAAAUUAAUACAUUAUUGACCAUCUCAGAAAGGGGUAAAGUGUGAUACUGAAGUGAAAGAAGAUUAUGUAAAGUAUGUUAAAGGAAGGCUAGAGCUGUUUAUUCAGUGGAGGCUUACAUUUGUUUACCUAAGUGUAAUCUCCCUUCGUUGACGUACUCAGAAGCAUUAGGAAGAGACUAUUAAAAGGAUGCAAAAGACACCUUUUCCAAGAAUUGACUGCAAAGAGACUUACGUAAAUAGGAACGCCAUUUCUCGUCAUAUGAAAGAAAGCAUACAUAGCUUACCGCUUCUGUUUCAACUGAAAAUGUACAUAAAUUACAAUCGCGACCUGUAAGAUAAACACGUCUAUUUCUUAAUAAAUAUGUACGUAUAUAAUUA